UUCGCCCUUAGAGUUUGAUCCUGGCUCAGGAUGAACGCUAGCUACAGGCUUAACACAUGCAAGUCGAGGGGCAGCGGGAUUGAAGCUUGCUUCAAUUGCCGGCGACCGGCGCACGGGUGAGUAACGCGUAUCCAACCUUCCGUACACUCAGGGAUGGCCUUUCGAAAGAAAGAUUAAUACCUGAUGGUAUGAUGAGAUUGCAUGAUAGCAUCAUUAAAGAUUUAUCGGUGUACGAUGGGGAUGCGUUCCAUUAGGUAGUAGGCGGGGUAACGGCCCACCUAGCCAACGAUGGAUAGGGGUUCUGAGAGGAAGGUCCCCCACAUUGGAACUGAGACACGGUCCAAACUCCUACGGGAGGCAGCAGUGAGGAAUAUUGGUCAAUGGACGAGAGUCUGAACCAGCCAAGUAGCGUGAAGGAUGAAGGUCCUACGGAUUGUAAACUUCUUUUAUAAGGGAAUAAACCCUCCCACGUGUAGGAGCUUGUAUGUACCUUAUGAAUAAGCAUCGGCUAACUCCGUGCCAGCAGCCGCGGUAAUACGGAGGAUGCGAGCGUUAUCCGGAUUUAUUGGGUUUAAAGGGAGCGCAGACGGGUCGUUAAGUCAGCUGUGAAAGUUUGGGGCUCAACCUUAAAAUUGCAGUUGAUACUGGCGUCCUUGAGUGCGGUUGAGGUGUGCGGAAUUCGUGGUGUAGCGGUGAAAUGCUUAGAUAUCACGAAGAACUCCGAUUGCGAAGGCAGCACACUAAUCCGUAACUGACGUUCAUGCUCGAAAGUGUGGGUAUCAAACAGGAUUAGAUACCCUGGUAGUCCACACGGUAAACGAUGGAUACUCGCUGUUGGCGAUAUACUGUCAGCGGCUUAGCGAAAGCGUUAAGUAUCCCACCUGGGGAGUACGCCGGCAACGGUGAAACUCAAAUGAAUUGACGG
rnacentral:rRNA from 1 species